rnacentral:lncRNA from 1 species
UAUCUAAAGUACCAGGCUUAAAAAUUAAAAGAAAAAUUCUAUUUCAAUAAGGAAACAACUGAAAGUAAACAACAUCGCACCCCAGAUGCAUAGAGAGUAUCAUGAAGGAGUAAAGUACUUCCUCCACGUAGCUUGAGCUACUAUGUUUCGAUUACAAGGAAAUCCUCUUCACUGUCAUUGCCCAAUACAAUAGUUUGCAAACCCACUGGGACACGAUGUUAGUCCACAAAUCUAACUCGAUCUUGAACUGCAUGUUUGCUUGCUCCCGUGUCUACAAUCCAAUUAGGAAAAGAAUUAGCAACUAAUGCAUGGAAACAAACAAAUUAAUUAAGAGGCAAAAUAGAGAAAGGUAUCUUUGGCUCGGAACAAUGACGAGUGAAGUGACCCUUGUUGCCAUAAUUGUAGCACUUCAUAUGCGCUACAUUUUUCUCUCGUGGCCCUUAGUCUUAUGUUGUUUCGCCACACCACCUUUAGGUCCAUUGGCUUGAAAUGGUGGCUGACCUUUCUUAAAUUACUUGGUACGAUUAGGCUUGUUUCCCUUGGGUCUGACCCCAUGGGCAACAUGUGCCACAUUGAAAGGAUUAAACACCUUUUGACGCUCAACUUCUAUCUCAAUGUGCCUAGCAAUUUCAUAGAAAGUAUUAAUAUGUUUACUAUGAACUAUCAGGAAUUUAAAACUUUCCCAAUAUUCAAGUUCAUCUGGAAGUGAAUGAAUCACAUUCAGAACCUACUCCUGAUCUCUUAUGUCACGCCCUCCAGCCUUAAAGUCACGAACCAUAACACUCAUGACACAUAAGUGUUCAGCUAUACCAUGCUUUGGAUCCAUUUCAUAUUUCAUCCACUUUAAAUCCAAUGUACGGAGCCUUGUAGCGGACGUCUAGCCAUAAGUGACCUUAAGCUUGUACCACAUGUCUUUAGUCGUAGAACAACUCUCAAAUGAGAUUGUGAUGCAUGCAAUACAACAUAGUAUAGUGCAUAACAAUCCAUCUUGGAACAUUUUUGAUAUGCAGCCAUAUCCUCAUUGUACUGAUCACUACCGAUAUUUUUUGGCCAGGUACAAUAUUGGUCAAGGUUUCCAAAACUUCGUGCUCAUUAAAAAGAUACUGAAUCUUCCUAUGCCAUAUAUCAUACUU